CUCAUAGAGAAGCUGUUUCCUGCUGAGCUUUUCACACUGGCCUUUUCCUGAAACCUUCUGAGCCCUCACUGAGCCCCAAUGAGCUGACCUGCCCAUGCAGUGCAACCCACUGAGAACAGGGCCAGUGCCUCACUUCUUCUGCUGAGAAGCUAAGUUGUUUUUCCUUUUUAAACUGCCUAUUUCCCCACAGCCUAUAGGGAGGUCCCUCAUACUACUGCUUUUUUGGUAAUGCUGUGCAAAGCACUGUAUUUGUUUUUCAUUUCAGCCCAUCUGGAUACCUCUAAUUUCGGAAGAACGAUGCGCGUCGUUGAAAUAUUUAUGCUGUGCCUUUGAAGAAAUACACCUCACAUUUCAAGAACUCGCCAGGCUGAGGUUUAUGAGGACUAUUUAAAGCUGUGGCUCUUCCAUUCCUUCCUGCCUUGAGAAGAGAUGUGUCUUUCGGACCUCAUGGUGCUGGGUACAAGAUGUCAGCCCUGGGGAGCACUGAUAGCACAGAUCCUGGGGCCCUCGUAACCCUUCUUGAGCUGAACGCAGAACUGCUGGGCAUCACUGCCCUUGAGGCUUUCAGACUCAGCAAUCAGAAUGCAAGCUGGGGUAGGAGGUUUCUUUGGCAAAGCUAUUCUGGGCAGCUCUGCAACAGCAGCCACCCCAGAGCUGCAGCUGUCUGGAAGGAAAUGUAGAUGUAACUGUAAUAUUGCCACCUUUGUCAGAGGGUAGGGGAUGACUAUAAAAGCAUUUGUGGUGGGGAGAGCCCAGAUUUGCCAUAGGGCACCCCACUUCCCUCUGAAUAAUAAAUAUAUUCUGGAUUUUUAGCAGAAAGUAUGGAGGAGGUCAGGUGCCACCCAUGUGAUGUGAUGAAUGUGAUGAAAUGUGAUGAAAAGAGUGCGGAAAAAAGGGUUUGACCUCAAGCUGUGCUUUCCUCUGCCUCCUUCCCACCCCGAGGCUGCAUUAAUCAGAAGGUCCCACUGCCUACAGCCCAUCUCUAUUUGGCUGAUGGCAAAGUGCUUUGCUGCUGACAGGUCAUGGCAACGGCACCCACAGCAAAGGGUGCCCCACAGCUUCAGUGCGGGCAGCUGUUAUCAGGGGCUGGAGGUUGGGACAACCUGACACAGUGCCUUUGUGCGCAGCCUGGGACUGUGUCAGGAAAGGGGAGGAAAUGGGGGGCAUGGUGCUGUCAUGAGGGAGCUGAAGCAAAAUGCUUCCUAGUCACCGUCUCAAAGAGCUCCUAUCAAGUGCUUUAUUUUUAAUGCCUCAAUUUGCUUUCCUCUUCUUGAUUGUAAUACCCUUCUUGAACUUUGCAAAUAAAAUGUGCUUUCCCUUUUGA
ensembl:lncRNA